UGUGUGUGUUAGUGGAAGCGUCUGGAAAGGCGCGCGAUACAGGGUGACAGCCCCGUACACAAAAAUACACAUAUUGUGAGCUCGAUGAGUAGGGCGGGACACGUGGUAUCCUGUCUGAAUAUGGGGGGACCAUCCUCCAAGGCUAAAUACUCCUGACUGACCGAUAGUGAACCAGUACCGUGAGGGAAAGGCGAAAAGAACCCCGGCGAGGGGAGUGAAAAAGAACCUGAAACCGUGUACGUACAAGCAGUGGGAGCACGCUUAGGCGUGUGACUGCGUACCUUUUGUAUAAUGGGUCAGCGACUUAUAUUCUGUAGCAAGGUUAACCGAAUAGGGGAGCCGAAGGGAAACCGAGUCUUAACUGGGCGUUAAGUUGCAGGGUAUAGACCCGAAACCCGGUGAUCUAGCCAUGGGCAGGUUGAAGGUUGGGUAACACUAACUGGAGGACCGAACCGACUAAUGUUGAAAAAUUAGCGGAUGACUUGUGGCUGGGGGUGAAAGGCCAAUCAAACCGGGAGAUAGCUGGUUCUCCCCGAAAGCUAUUUAGGUAGCGCCUCGUGAAUUCAUCUCCGGGGGUAGAGCACUGUUUCGGCAAGGGGGUCAUCCCGACUUACCAACC
rnacentral:rRNA from 1 species